rnacentral:tRNA from 1 species
AGCGGCCUGCAAAGCCGCGUACACCGGUUCGAUUCCGGUCCUAGCCU